rnacentral:lncRNA from 1 species
AUCAGCAAAGCAGGGGAGGUUGUACAGACCCAUUUCUGUCCAGUGUACCUGAUGAAGAAUUACAUAAAUUAUACUAAGACCUAAAUCCCGAGGCUUAUGAGUAAAUAAACAUCUCUCCGUUGCAUCACAGCCACCCUUUCAUUUCACUAGAGACAGCUGCUCUAACUGCCCCAAGCAUUGGAGGAAGAGGAAGAGGGGGGGGGGAGGUCAAAAAUUAGAAGAAAAAAUAAAGAACAGAACCCGGCCCAAGCUUGGCGGUUUUUAAUGCGGUUUCUCUCGCUGGAGGAAGGGAGGGGGGAUUAAAAACGGCGGAGAAGUGAGCGCUCUGCGGUGGGGAAGAGCGGGGUGAGGUCGGGCUGCGGGACAGCGCGCCCUGGGUAGCAGAACCGAACCGAACCGAACCGAACCGCGCGGAGCCGUUCCCUCCCUCCCCGCUGCCGCGGCGGCUCCGGAGCUCGGGGGGCGGGCAGACCGGGCUCGCCUCGCCUCUGUUUUGGAGGGCGGGGGAGGAAGCGGAGCCGGCGGCCGUGGGUUGUUUUAGGGUUUGCUUUGGAGCGGGGAAGCCGGGAGCGCAGCCGGUGCGCACAGCCCCGAGUCUGGGGGCGAAGUUCCGCUGCGGGGGCAGCCCGUCUCCUCCAACCCCUCCGCGGCACAACUUUCCUGCUCGGCCCCAGCAUGAACCAGACGGCUGGGGUGUCCAACAACGUGCGCUGCUCCAGCGGCAAGGGGCCCAAGGCUUGAUAUCAUGUUGCUGUUUGAAAUGCCAGUGCUGCUCACCUGGUUGGCAACUUUGUGUCUAGUCAGUGUGUACCCAUUUCCUACAAGUUUGCAGACUUAGCCACACAGCUUUACCUCUCCUGUGGAAUGAAUUCAGUCAUUGCUCCUUUUAUCAUCUGAUCUUUUAAGGAUGAAACCCAUUAGUCAUGCAUCUGCAUAAGUACUAAAAGAUGCUGCUUGAUGGGGGCUGUGGAAGUGCACAAACAGUUCAGAUGAGUCUGCUGAAGCUGUUUACUUAGCUCCAUGACUAAUCAUAUAUCUCAAGUUAAACCCAUUCAUGAGCACUUUGCGUAAUCAGAGAGCCUGAGAUUGGAGGUCCUCCAUGGAUCUCGCCUGUAAUUUCAAAGCUGAGCCUCCUUUUUUUGCACACCUUGGUUUUGUUUGAGUUUUGGGUUGAACAGAAAAUGGUAUUGAGUGUCAGAAAUAAUUUGUUUUAUCAAGCUGCUAACCUAAUGCUUUAAUUCACACAGAAGAUAUGUGGCUGGAAUGGUUAUAUUGUUAACACACGAUAAUUGAGACGUUUGUCAUUGUCUUGGAGGGCAUCCUCAUGGUAUUUUCAGAUGCUGUAGG